rnacentral:rRNA from 1 species
CUGGUGUUCUAACGUGGGCCCGUGAACCGGGUUGCGGACAGUGUCUGGUGGGUAGUUUGACUGGGGCGGUCUCCUCCUAAAGAGUAACGGAGGAGCACGAAGGUUGGCUAAUCCUGGUCGGACAUCAGGAGGUUAGUGCAAUGGCAUAAGCCAGCUUGACUGCGAGCGUGACGGCGCGAGCAGGUGCGAAAGCAGGUCAUAGUGAUCCGGUGGUUCUGAAUGGAAGGGCCAUCGCUCAACGGAUAAAAGGUACUCCGGGGAUAACAGGCUGAUACCGCCCAAGAGUUCAUAUCGACGGCGGUGUUUGGCACCUCGAUGUCGGCUCAUCACAUCCUGGGGCUGAAGUAGGUCCCAAGGGUAUGGCUGUUCGCCAUUUAAAGUGGUACGCGAGCUGGGUUUAGAACGUCGUGAGACAGUUCGGUCCCUAUCUGCCGUGGGCGCUGGAAGAUUGAGGGGGGCUGCUCCUAGUACGAGAGGACCGGAGUGGACGCAUCACUGGUGUUCGGGUUGUCAUGCCAAUGGCACUGCCCGGUAGCUACAUGCGGAAGAGAUAAGUGCUGAAAGCAUCUAAGCACGAAACUUGCCCCGAGAUGAAUCUUCCCUGAGCCUUUAAGGCUCCUGAAGGAACGUUGAAGACGACGACGUUGAUAGGCCGGGUGUGUAAGCGCAGCGAUGCGUUGAGCUAACCGGUACUAAUGAACCGUGAGGCUUAACCUU